AGUGAACGCUGGCGGUAGGCCUAACACAUGCAAGUCGAACGGCAGCACAGGAGAGCUUGCUCUCUGGGUGGCGAGUGGCGGACGGGUGAGGAAUACAUCGGAAUCUACUUUUUCGUGGGGGAUAACGUAGGGAAACUUACGCUAAUACCGCAUACGACCUACGGGUGAAAGCAGGGGACCUUCGGGCCUUGCGCGAUUGAAUGAGCCGAUGUCGGAUUAGCUAGUUGGCGGGGUAAAGGCCCACCAAGGCGACGAUCCGUAGCUGGUCUGGGAGGAUGAGCAGCCACACUGGAACUGAGACACGGUCCAGACUCCUACGGGAGGCAGCAGUGGGGAAUAUUGGACAAUGGGCGCAAGCCUGAUCCUGCCAUACCGCGUGGGUGAAGAAGGCCUUCGGGUUGUAAAGCCCUUUUGUUGGGAAAGAAAUCCAGCUGGCUAAUACCCGGUUGGGAUGACGGUACCCAAAGAAUAAGCACCGGCUAACUUCGUGCCAGCAGCCGCCGUAA
rnacentral:rRNA from 1 species